rnacentral:rRNA from 1 species
UACGGAGGAGGCAAGCGUUAUCCGGAAUUAUUGGGCGUAAAGCGUCCGCAGGUGGCGCUUCAAGUCUGCGGUCAAAGACUGGGGCUUAACCCUGGAAAGGCCGUGGAAACUGAAUAGCUAGAGUGCAGUAGGGGUAGAGGGAAUUCCCGGUGUAGCGGUGAAAUGCGUAGAGCUCGGGAAGAACAUCGGUGGCGAAAGCGCUCUGCUGGACUGCAACUGACACUCAGGGACGAAAGCUAGGGGAGCGAAUGGG